rnacentral:rRNA from 1 species
UGUUUUAUAAAAAUAAUUUAUUUUUUUUUUGUUUUUGUAUUAUUUAAAAAUUAAUUUUUAGUUUUAUAGUUUAUUAGUAUUGUAAAAAAAAUUUAAAAAAUUUUAUUAAAAAUAAAUAUUAUUAGUACCUUUUGUAUCAGGGUUAAUUAAAAUUUUUAAUUUAUAAUUAAUUUCUCAAAAUUUAUAGAGUUAAUUUUAUUAUUUAAGUUAUUGUUUUAUAAAUAUUUAAAAAAUAAAUUUAGAUUUGAAAUUUAAUUCGUUAUAAAAUAUUUAGUUAUUUAAGAUUUAAAUUUAAUUUAUAAUUUUAAUAGUUAUUUUAAUUUUAAUUAAAAUUAUUUUAAAAUUAAAUUAUUUUAGGGAUAAGCUUAAAAUUUAUAUAUAAUUUUAUUUAUUUUUUAUAAUUUUUAGGAAUAGUAAUUUUUAUUUUAAGUUUGUAAAAAUUUAUUAUUAGAUUUUAUUUAAAUUUAUUAUAUUAAUUUAUUUUUAAUAUUAAAUUUUAUAAAUUAUUUAUUGAUUUAUAGUAAUAAUGAUUGAAUUAGUAUAAUUAGAAAUUUAUGAAUUAUGAAUUCGGCAAUUUUUAUUUUCAUCUGUUUAACAAAAACAUUGUAUUAAGUUUUAUUUAAUAUAUAAUCUGCUCAAUGAUUUAAAAUUAAAUAGCUGCAGUAUAUUGACUGUGCAAAGGUAGCAUAAUAAUUAGUCUUUUAAUUGAAGACUUGUAUGAAAGAUUUGAUGAGAAAUAAACUUUAUUAUUUAUAAAAUUAAAAUUUUAUUUUUAAGUAAAAAAGCUUAAAUUUUUUUAAGGGACGAUAAGACCCUAUAAAACUUUAUAAUAAAAUAUAAUUUAAUUUUUUUGUAAAUUAUUUUAAUUUAAUUUAUUUUAUUAUUUUAUUGGGGUGAUAAAAAAAAAUUAAUAACUUUUUUUAAAUUUUAACAUUAAUUUAUGAUUAUUUGAAUUAAAAUUUUUAAUUAAAGGGAAAAGUUACUUUAGGGAUAACAGCGUAAUUAAUUUUUAAAGUUCAAAUUUGAAAAUUAGUUUGCGACCUCGAUGUUGAAUUAAGAUAAUUUUUAGGUNCAAAAUUUUAAAUUUUAGGUCUGUUCGACCUUUAAAUUCUUACAUGAUUUGAGUUCAAACC